UGACCACUUCCUUUGGGAAGUUAAGGCAACGGUACGCCGGGUCAAAUGCCGA
rnacentral:sRNA from 18 species